rnacentral:rRNA from 1 species
CUGCUGCCUCCCGUAGGAGUCUGGUCCGUGUCUCAGUACCAGUGUGGGGGGCCUUCCUCUCAGAACCCCUACGCAUCGUCGCCUCGGUGGGCCGUUACCCCGCCGACUGGCUAAUGCGCCGCAUGCCCAUCCGUGGCCGGGAUUGCUCCCUUUGGCGGCCUUGGGAUGUCCCUAGGCCGCGUUGCGCGGUAUUAGACGGGGUUUCCCCCGCUUAUCCCCCUGCCACGGGCAGGUUGCAUACGUGUUACUCACCCGUGCGCCGGUCGCCGGCAACGG